UGGAAGAGAAGGCCAACGAUGAAGCUAAUUAGGGUUGAAAGGUGCCCUGCGUCCUGCGACUUAUGGAGCCGCGGCGAGUGAGUAAAGUCAAAGCAGUUGUGGAAUGGGAAUAAAUACUUUUCCGUUUUCCUCUAAAUUCUUCAACCCGUAUGGUUGGAUUGCACAAAAAGACAAUUUUAUAGUUAAUAUUCAUCAAUAUACACCACAAAGACAUCAUGCUAUAUAUAUUUUUUAACUACUAUAGUUAGAAAAUAUGUAUAACAUGACGAGUUUAUAAAAUUUAUUAAUGAAUUUAACUAUAAAAUAAAGUUCAACUAAUUUAAUGUUCAAGACCGGCCCACCCAGACUCAAGAUUCCAUUCAUCGAUUCAUCGAGCUCAAACUGUAAGUCUUCCAACACCAUUCCCCCAAAUACUAUAGACAGUGGCCUGUAUCAUAACAAUUUUCACCGUGAUAUAGGUUUAUGGUUAAAUCCAAAUUUCUAUUACUACACCAAAAGAAAGAAAAAAAAACCCUAGUAAACCAGCAUUAUUAUAACAUCAACAAUCAACAAAAUUCAUAAUUUACCAAAUAAUUUGCCAAACUAAUUCAUAUGCCAAUUCAAUAUUUCAAUUUAACUACUAUCAUAUUUAUUUAUAAUCAGCUCAUAACAUAAUCAACAAUAAAAUUCACACCAAUAACAUUAAAGAAUCAACCUUAAAAAAAAUUAUCACCUAUUGUUACAGAGGCAAAGUGUGGACCACGAGCAACAGUUCAGAAAACAAGGAGAAACGGAUGAGCGGCGCAGGGAGACGCGAGCAGUGGAGCACACCCGGGUUACACGGACAAGGCAAAGGCCGAUGAGCCCGCGAGGGACAACAAGAACGCGACGGAGACCGACUGGGGGAGACGCAUUGAACGGGAGCUCAUUGAAGAACUUAGGACAAGAAAACCCAAAAUUAGCUGGAUAGAAAACAGGGUCCAUGAUUUUUGGGCCAGUACACAGAAUUAGUUAGUAUUGACCCGAAAAGAGAAAAGGGAUUAAAAGGUGAGCUGGAGCUGAAGGAAGAGAAGGGGAACGGUGAAGCUAAUUAGGGUUGAAAGGUGCCCUGCGAGGCGGUGGCAAGUGAGUAAACGCAACCCAGGUAUACAUCUCCUUUUGAUUUGAUUGUGAUCUGAUGAUAUGUUGUGAUAGAAUGAGGCAGUGAUGAUGAUUGUUGAGCAUUUAAGCAUUGAGUGGUGAGUGAGGACGAGUAUGGUGGCGAGGCGUUGUUUUUGUUGACGCAGCCAUCUUGUUCGUCGGAUUGCCCCUCUUAGUGUGAAUGCCAACCUGAGCCUCCUUUGACUCCUAUCAUUAGUUUAAGUAUGAGGCUUGACUUCUCAAUGCCUAUGAUUACUUCCCCUCUUUUCCGUUUCCCAACCUACAAGCAGCAACAACAAACAACAACAACAACAAGAAGAACAAAAUUCACACGCAAUGAUUUCCUCGCUCUUUCUCUCUCUCUCUCUCUUUCCGUUCAACGUUAUGUUAUUGCAUGUGCUUCUGCUUCUGCUUGGAAUCAUAUCAUAUAUAUAUAUAUAGUACUACUUUUUCUUCUUCUUCUUCUUAUUAUGACGGGGCAGUGAUGAUGAUCUCUUCAAUUGGAACAGACAUAUGAGUUGGGGAGUUGAGAGGUGUGUGUGGUGGCAAGGUGACUCAGUGUAGUGUCUGUCUGCCUGUUGAUGCAGCCAUGCAUGCAUGCCUUCCCCCAUUUCUUGUCUGACAAAAGGCGAAUCUGAGCCUCCUCCUUCAAUUCCAACACUAGUUCAUUCUUCUGUUUUCCUUUACCUUUUUCCCUUUCAUUCUUAUUAAUCAUGGACCCCCACACAGAAACAUUCCUAUAUUUAUUUAUUUAUUUCACACUACUUGUUUCGUGAAUGGUUACCCUGUCUUUCUUAUCAUUCUUCAACUUUCUUAUUACUCAAGUUCUCAACUUUCUUUUCAGAUUGCAGUUCCAUGAUUUUGACUUUUCCGU